AUCUGCGGCCAUAGCACCUUGAAAGCACUGCAUCCCGUCUGAUCUGCCACGGUUAACCAAGGUCGCGCCUGGCCAGUACUACGGUGGGGGACCCCGUGGGAAUCCCAGGUGCUGCAGUUA
rfam:Pseudozyma flocculosa PF-1 unplaced genomic scaffold scaffold00007, whole genome shotgun sequence.